CACGUAGGGGGCGAGCGUUGUCCGGAUUUAUUGGGCGUAAAGAGCUCGUAGGCGGCUCAGUAAGUCAGGUGUGAAAACUCCAGGCUCAACCUGGAGACGCCACCUGAUACUGCUGUGGCUAGAGUCCGGUAGGGGAGCAUGGAAUUCCUGGUGUAGCGGUGAAAUGCGCAGAUAUCAGGAGGAACACCAGUGGCGAAGGCGGUGCUCUGGGCCGGAACUGACGCUGAGGAGCGAAAGCUAGGGGAGCGAAUGGG
rnacentral:rRNA from 1 species